rnacentral:rRNA from 1 species
CCCGCACAAGCGGAGGAACAUGUGGUUUAAUUCGAUGAUACGCGAGGAACCUUACCUGGGCUUAAAUGGGGAGUGACAGCUGGCGAAAGUUGGUUUUCUUCGGACACUCUUCAAGGUGCUGCAUGGUUGUCGUCAGCUCGUGCCGUGAGGUGUCGGGUUAAGUCCCAUAACGAGCGCAACCCUUACUGUUAGUUGCCAGCGGGUCAAGCCGGGAACUCUAACGGGACUGCCACCGUAAGGUGAGAGGAAGGUGGGGAUGACGUCAAAUCAGCACGGCCCUUAUGUCCAGGGCUACACACGUGUUACAAUGGUCGGUACAAAGGGCAGCUACACCGCGAGGUGAUGCUAAUCUCUAAAGCCGGUCUCAGUUCGGAUCGAAGUCUGCAACCCGACUUCGUGAAGUUGGAUUCGCUAGUAAUCGCGCAUCAGCCAUGGCGCGGUGAAUACGUUCCCGGGCCUU